rnacentral:sRNA from 1 species
AUAGUGCGGCGCGGGAUGCUCCUGGCGCGGCAAGUGGUUCUUCCUCAGCUCUCUCCUGCAGGUAAAAGAUACCUGCUUUCUUCAGCCUAUGUAGACAGCCACAAAUGGGAAGCAAGAGAAAAAGAACAUUACUGUCUUGCUGAUCUUGCAUCUUUAAUGGAUAAAACAUUUGAGAGAAAGUUGCCUGUUAGUUCUUUAACAAUAUCACGGCUUAUAGACAACAUUUCCUCUCGGGAAGAGAUAGAUCAUGCAGAGUAUUACCUUUACAAAAAGGGAGAAUGCUCAUCCAGCAGUCCACAGAAUUAUUCCAGGCAAGUGCCCAUUCCAGAGACUCACUCACCUGACAUAUUACUACUGGAAGUUGAAAAGUCCCCACAUUUAUUUGUCUGAACUGCUUAAAAAGUCACCAACAGGAAUUCUUCUCAAACUUGCCAUCCAAAAUUGAACCCUGCUGGCCCAGUGUUUUGACUUGUUUAUAUUCCAGAUAGCCACUCAUGUUUCGACACAGCCCCAACUGCUGGUACCUGAGAAACUGGACUAUCCACACCUG